rnacentral:rRNA from 1 species
UUAGCUAGUUGGUAAGGUAACGGCUUACCAAGGCGACGAUGCAUAGCCGAGUUGAGAGACUGAUCGGCCACAUUGGGACUGAGACACGGCCCAAACUCCUACGGGAGGCAGCAGUAGGGAAUCUUCCACAAUGGGCGAAAGCCUGAUGGAGCAACGCCGCGUGAGUGAAGAAGGUUUUCGGAUCGUAAAGCUCUGUUGUUGGUGAAGAAGGAUAGAGGUAGUAACUGGCCCCUAUUUGACGGUAAUCAACCAGAAAGUCACGGCUAACUACGUGCCAGCAGCCGCGGUAAUACGUAGGUGGCAAGCGUUGUCCGGAUUUAUUGGGCGUAAAGCGAGCGCAGGCGGAAAGAUAAGUCUGAUGUGAAAGCCCCCGGCUUAACCGAGGAAUUGCAUCGGAAACUGUGUUUCUUGAGUGCAGAAGAGGAGAGUGGAACUCCAUGUGUAGCGGUGGAAUGCGUAGAUAUAUGGAAGAACACCAGUGGCGAAGGCGGCUCUCUGGUCUGUAACUGACGCUGAGGCUCGAAAGCAUGGGUAGCGAACAGGAUUAGAUACCCUGGUAGUCCAUGCCGUAAACG